CUCAUGAUAAUCCCAUUUGCUGCUGGCCAGCGGCCGCUGUCACAAUGUCCCCGUGUCACCUUGCAGAGUGCUCAGGGACAAUGAGCUGCGGGCAGUGAAGAGCCAUUCCCUGCAGGGGCUGUUCCUGCUGAAGCACCUGUAAGCACCGUGCCCUGCCCAGGACAGGGGGCUCCUGCCUGCCCCUCCCUGGGGCCCUGCUGCUCAGCCCAGCCCCGGGCAAGUGGCCUUAGUCCCUCCGGGGAUGCAGGCUGCAGAGGCAAGUAAAAGCAACAGGGCAAAUGGAAGUGACAUUUGGUGUUCUGACUGGAACAGGGAUUUGUCUGGCAAUGAGAUCGUGUCCAUUGAGGAAUGUGCUUUUGAGCCACUGCCUUUCCUGAAGCUUCUGUGAGUGAUAAAGUUUCCUCCUGGGGUUUUAGUGAAGUCUUUGCAUUGGGCACCCUUCCUGUGUCGGAAAAUGCUCCCGUUCUUUUCCCAGCAGUCCCUAAAUCUGCCCUGCUCAGGGCCCAGCUGAGCUGCAGAGGUCAGUGCCGAUGGCUGGACGGCCACGCCGGGGGCACAGGCCCCAGCGGGGUCGUCCACACGCAGCCAUCAGAGCAGCCAGUUCUUGCAGGCUCGGCUGCAUGCUGGCACAGAAAUAGAGUCAGCCCUUGGGCCCUUCCCUUCCCCUCCUGGGCAGGCUACAAACACUGAGAAAGCAGCAGCUUCCCCCCUCUUCCACCUUGCAUUUGCACCUUUCCUGCAAAGGGAUCCCGCUUCAGCCCCUCUUCCUGUGGGACAGGCCCGAUUCCGUUGUGUGACCUCCUCUUUCCCCAGAAACCUCUCCGGGAAUGGCCUCACGCAGAUCCGCAGCGGCACUUUCCAGGCCUGGCACGGGAUGCAGUUUCUCCAGGAGCUCCAAGUGCCCAAGGAUGUGGCCUGCUGCCUGUGCCAGGAGCGUCCCCUCGCCGAGAGCCCGUGCAGGACCAUCCAGUUCCUCUGCGAGAAGCUGUGCAGCACCAGCGCCCCGCAGUGCGGUUGGUGUCCGGAGGGGCUUGGGGGGAGCUCACAUCUGCCACUUCUCUUGAGCCUGGGGAGGUGCUGCAGCACUGCCCCGUGCUGGGGCUCCUGGCCUCCCCUUGGAGUCCAGGACUUGCACAAAACACCUUGGGUUGAAAAGUUCCUGGGCAUUACUCAUAUCUUGUGUGUCAAAUACUGUCUGGAGAAGGAACAGCUCACUGGGCCACCCCACUGCCACGUGCAGGAGAGAGGGCAGGGACCCCGAUGUGCUCUGCAGGGUGAACACCGAGCACCGUUAUUCCCUCCUUGGCCUGUGCAGGGGGAGCAAAGCACUGUCCUGCUCUAGCUGGGCACAGGGGAGGGAACCUCCUCUCCACAGCAGGGCCUGGCUGGACUUCUGCAAACAGACACAGCCAGGUUUCCAGGCUCCCCAGGAAGCUCCUUUCUCUCACUGCCUCAGCCCCACGUUUCCCACGGCACAGUCCCAGAGCUCCGGUGCCCUUCAGGAAGUUUU
rnacentral:lncRNA from 1 species